GAUGAACGCUAGCUACAGGCUUAACACAUGCAAGUCGAGGGGAAACGGCGUUGAGUGCUUGCACUCUUCGGACGUCGACCGGCGCACGGGUGAGUAACGCGUAUCCAACUUUCCCAUAACUAAGGGAUAACCUGCCGAAAGGCAGACUAAUACCUUAUGCAAUCCUUUGACGGCAUCAGAUUAGGAUUAAAGAUUUAUCGGUUAUGGAUGGGGAUGCGUCUGAUUAGCUUGUUGGCGGGGUAACAGCCCACCAAGGCAACGAUCAGUAGGGGUUCUGAGAGGAAGGUCCCCCACAUUGGAACUGAGACACGGUCCAAACUCCUACGGGAGGCAGCAGUGAGGAAUAUUGGUCAAUGGGCGAGAGCCUGAACCAGCCAAGUAGCGUGCAGGACGACGGCCCUAUGGGUUGUAAACUGCUUUUGUAUGGGGAUAAAGUCAAUCACGUGUGAUUGUUUGCAGGUACCAUACGAAUAAGGACCGGCUAAUUCCGUGCCAGCAGCCGCGGUAAUACGGAAGGUUCGGGCGUUAUCCGGAUUUAUUGGGUUUAAAGGGAGCGUAGGCCGGAGAUUAAGUGUGUUGUGAAAUGUAGACGCUCAACGUCUGACUUGCAGCGCAUACUGGUUUCCUUGAGUACGCACAACGUUGGCGGAAUUCGUCGUGUAGCGGUGAAAUGCUUAGAUAUGACGAAGAACUCCGAUUGCGAAGGCAGCUGACGGGAGCGCCACUGACGCUUAAGCUCGAAGGUGCGGGUAUCGAACAGG
rnacentral:rRNA from 1 species